rnacentral:rRNA from 1 species
GACGAACGCUGGCGGCGUGCCUAAUACAUGCAAGUCGAACGCAGUUGGGACGGGUGAGUCACACGUGGGUAACCUCCCAUCAGAUGGGAUAACACUUGGAAACAGGUGCUAAACCGAUACUGAUGGAUGGACCCGGGGUGCAUUAGCUAGUUGGUGGGGUAACGGCUCACCAAGGCCCAGAUGCCGAGCCGACCUGAGAGGAGGAUCGGCCACACUGGGACUGAGAAACGGCCCAGACUCCUACGGGAGGCAGCAGUGGGGAAUAUUCGGCAAUGGACGAAAGUCUGACCGAGCAACGCCGCGUGAGUGAAGAAGGUUUGCGGAUCGUAAAACUCUGUUGUUAGAGAAGCGGUAUCUAAAGAGAAAGCCACGGCUAACUACGUGCCAGCAGCCGCGGUAAUUC